rnacentral:rRNA from 1 species
CACGUAGUUAGCCGGUGCUUCUUUACCCAUUACCGUCACUCACGCUUCGUCACAGGCGAAAGCGGUUUACAACCCGAAGGCCGUCAUCCCGCACGCGGCGUUGCUACAUCAGGCUUCCGCCCAUUGUGCAAUAUUCCCCACUGCUGCCUCCCGUAGGAGUCUGGGCCGUAUCUCAGUCCCAAUGUGGCCGGUCACCCUCUCAGGCCGGCUACCCGUCAAAGCCUUGGUAAGCCACUACCCCACCAACAAGCUGAUAAGCCGCGAGUCCAUCCCCAACCGCCGAAACUUUCCAACCCCCACCAUGCAGCAGGAGCUCCUAUCCGGUAUUAGCCCCAGUUUCCUGAAGUUAUCCCAAAGUCAAGGGCAGGUUACUCACGUGUUACUCACCCGUUCGCCACUCGAGCACCCACAAAAGCAGGGCCUUUCCGUUCGACUUGCAUGUGUUAAGCACGCCGCCAGCGUUCGUCCUGUACGCCAGGAUCGAAAACUCU